rnacentral:lncRNA from 1 species
GUGGGAGCAAGUCCAGGACCGCCGGUUGGACGUGAUAGUCCCAGCUGUGUGUCAGGGCUAGGAGGGCUGGGGGUGGGGGUGGGGGGCGGUGGGGGGUUGCGCGUGGGAAGUGACCGUGCGUGUAAGGGGUGAGGCGUAUGGAGCUGUGGCAGGGCGGAGGCGUAUGAUCUCAUACUUACCUGGCAGGGGAGAUACGAUGAUCACGAAGGUGGUUUUCCCAGGGAGAGGCUUAUCCAUUGCACUCCGGAUGUGCUGACCCCUGCCGUUUCCCCAAAUGUGGGAAACUCGACUGCAUAAUUUGUGGUAGUGGGGGACUGCGUUCGCGCUGUCCUCUGAAUUUUGUGCUGGAAAACGCAGAUUGUAUGUGAAGGGAUACUUUUAGUAGUGCAUAAUAUGGGUGGUGUCAUGUUAUUUUUACAGUUGGAUGGCUGGGGAACAGAAGUGGCAUGUCGUUGUCCUCGCUGGAGAAGGAACAAGCGUCAGCCGUUGUGAGCCUGUUUAUCACAAGUUAACUAGCGCGAAGGCUGCAUAGCUUUUCCCUUUGAACAUAAGGCUGCUUAUUGCAAAAAUUGAUCCAUGGUCUCCAGUCUCUUGGGGUCUCACGCUCUGUGAAAAUCUUCGUGUUUUCCCCUAGGCCCCUGUCACCUUUUACACAGCCUCUGUUUCAGGAUUUCUGUGCUAGCGAGGAAUCAGUUCUCACCUCAUAGAGCCAGGUGGAAACUACGCAGACAGGCACUCUUCUUUGGGAUGAAAGCAGGGCCUUUGGGGCUCUUAGUGUCCCCGUUCGGUUGUAGACAUAACACGCUUGCUUUGUGUAGGAGAACGGCUCUGCCAGCGCCCAGGUGUCCUAACGCAAUUCAUCGAGGCCCGCAGGUCAGAACCGCAGUCUCACUUGUCUUGGCGGAAAUGCGCUGCGAUCCUCCCUGCACUACAUGAACACGAGAAUUCCACUACAGAAGAAAACCCCAGUCCUAGUGAUGGCGGUUCUGGGCAUUUUGCCAGCCUCUCCCAGGGUGUGUUUUCUGACCCCACCCACUUCUGAUCUGUAAUGUCCUGGUCAAUAGAAACUACCUGGCCCAAACGGAAAAGGCAAGGAGGAACACAGCGGGAAAGCCUAUGGCGUUCCCUGGUGGCUACCCCGGGGACUGCACUCAUAGAUCCGCGUGUUCCGAGAAGCCUCUGCCAUCCCGACUAGGGUGCGGUGCAGAAACCCGCGGCUCCAAAGAAAACCGGCUAGAACGCACAGGAAGCCCAGCCAGUGUUCAGGACACUGCGAGUGGAAGCCAUACGUCCUACGGACUGAUCUAGUUUGAUGAAGACGAGCCAUUUACUUCUAACCCCAGCAGCGGACAUUGCCUUGCUCAAAUAUAAAAUAUAUGAACCAAGACGAAAGCAACUUUCAUUGCGUUACUAAUGAGCAAACGGGUUUUUAGAAUGGUUAAGAAAUGUCCCUUGUUUUGGGACCGUCAUCACUAACGUAUGCUUGGGAUUCCUGAUCGAGGAGUUUCUGAGCAAAGCAGCCCACCAAUCCAGUGGCUGAGAACGGCUUGGAUAUUGGCUUCCAGGCGCAUCAGAAAUACCGAGGUUCUGACAAAGACGUGAGCUUCUGUCUGCCUUUGGGAAGGCCUUCUUCCAGUACUGGCGCUGCCGCUUGCCUUCUGUUUGACCUGGGGCCAGGUCCUUCAAUUUGCUAGGCUUCAAGUUGGAAAGUGUUACAGGAAAAUAAUAAGACGAAGUACUUCUUAGAGUUAUUGCACAGAUUACAGAAGAUAGUCUAAUAGUACAGCUAGCAUCCUGUAUGGCUUACAUUAAGGAUUUGCUGAUAGGAAACAACAUCCCAGAUAAAGUUUUUUCCCCCUUAAUUAUGAAAUAUAACAAAGGAAAUUGUGUAGGCUUCUGCUUCAGGCCUCUGUAAAAUUUGAAUGAAUUUUGCACUUAUGAAGAUUACGUCCUUUUACAAAAUAAGUUAAUACUAAAGAAUGACAAACGGAAUUUACAAAACAAAUAUUAACAAAAAGAACUUGUUCUUAGCAGCUUUGUUUACAAUAGUCCCCAAACUGGAAACAGUUCAUAUGUAUCAAGAGGUUAAUGGACCUUUUGUGAUAUAUUCAUCCAAUGGAAUACCACCCUCAGUAAGAUGGGACAAAUUAUGGAAACAUGAGAUAACAUGGGUGAAUCUCAAAAGAGUGCAUUCUGUGUGGUGCCAUCAAGGUGAAUUUCUGGAACAGGUGAAACUAACCUGUAUAGUGACAGAAAAUACAUCAUUAAUUGCUGGGGCCAGGGGGAGGGCGGGACUGACUGCAAAGGGCACAAGAGGACCUUUUAGAGUAAUAGUCAUCAAACUUGAAAUGGAUGCAUUGUACCAUAGGCAACUCACACCUUAACUUGGUUGUAAAAAGGAAUAAGAAAACCACUC